rnacentral:lncRNA from 1 species
UGAGAAGGACACUGGGAGUAAGAGCUCUGUGGUUGGCAGAACCACAGAGCCUAGCCAGACAGGUCAGCCCUGCCUGGCUCCUGAUGCAGAAUCCAGAAAUUCAAAUCUCAGAUUUUGGACUAAGCUGAAGAAGCUGGUGGGAAGCUGUGUUUACCUGCGGUUUGGUCUAAAGAGAACAUAUUCUAAAGCAUGAGUAGAAUUGUUGGCGGUAGAGAUGAAGCUGAAGAGAAGGAAGACCAGGUCUGGCACGCCGAGGAUGCGGGUGAGCUGCUUGUGGAUGACCUGUUCCCUGUAGGACAUCUGCUGCUGGGUGUUUCGCCGGAACCUGUACCAUCCGAUAACUUUCUGCAACAAAACCAGACGACAGCAAAGUAU